GAGUCGAGUAGUUUGGGAAUGCUGCUCUAAAUGGGAGGUAAAUUUCUUCUAAAGCUAAAUACCGGCCAGAGACCGAUAGCGCACAAGUAGAGUGAUCGAAAGAUGAAAAGCACUUUGAAAAGAGGGUUAAAUAGCACGUGAAAUUGUUGAAAGGGAAGCGUUUACGGCCAGACCUUUUCCUGGCGGAUCAUCUGGUGUUCUCACCAGUGCACUUCGCCAGGUUUAGGCCAGCAUCGGCUUCUGUAGGGGGAUAAAAGCAGUGGGAAAGUAGCUCCCUCGGGAGUGUUAUAGCCCUAAGCAUAAUACCC
rnacentral:rRNA from 1 species